UGUCACAGUCAAUAGCGGCCAUUGAUCGCGUGUAGAGUGUGAGGAUGCGCCUUUGUUUGAGAGAGGCAAUGAAAACUGUAAAUACUGCUCGGCGUCAGUCGUAAACUAGAAAGACUCCUCUUUUAUUAUUGUGGAAUUUUGUGAAUGACUUAAAAGUGUGUUUGUGCCGCAGGAUAUUGUGGAUCAUGAACCUGAGGGGCUGAUGUCUGCGCGUCUUGAUUCUUUUUUUAUUUUUCCAGCACGUUGACGAGAGAGCGCGGCUCAGCAGCAGCUGCUCCAGGACAUCGUCAUCGCUCUCGGCCUAACGAGCCCGGGGUGAGACGGGAACGCCGGGCGGCCGGGGCGGAGGGAGGAACCCUGCAGCCACGCCAGCUGUCCACGCAGACGCGCGUGGGCUUCAGUCCCUUGCUCCUCUACGCUGACAUCAUCCAGUGUUGCAUUACGCAGCCCUGACCGCCUCAGUGGCAGCACCGGCUUCCCAGCAGGACCCGUGCUGGAUGGCCUCUGAUCAAUGACAUCAUGCACGCGCAUCAAACCCGAGCACCAUGAGGGAAUAUGUGAAAGUCAACCCGGCCCCACCCCUCUGAGGCUUUUAUUUCUUCUGGAUUAAUGCAGGUGACAUGACAGCAAAGCAUUAGCGUCAGCAGAGCAAAGACAUUAGGGGAUCUUGUUCUUUGGGGCUUGAGAUUUAAUGUUCUGUUUGUUCUUUUUAUGCAUAACAGCACUGCUUGCAUAUGAAGUAUCAAAGGCUUCACAGUGAUACUUUGACUGAACAGUCUGGUAUCUAAGAAGUCAAGAGUGAAAAAAGGAAGAUCAUUUCUCUGUUCUUAGAGUACAGUAGAGAAUGCUGCUGCUGCUGCUGCUGAGGUACAGUAUAUGUGGUCCAGCAGCCCAACACAUCAGAUACUUUGGCAUCCAUUUGACCUUGACUGGCAGGAAACCAGUAACAAUAACAACGGGUUUGAGCUGGUAUGAGUUUCUCUGUUGUUCCACCUCUCAGCACUGCAGUAUAUUUUUCUAAUGGUCGUCCUCCCAGGUAACAGGCAUCACCAGCAGGCCUCGACCGAGGGAGCGGCUUUGGGGGAUGAGGAUGCAGUUUGCUUCGAGAGGAAGCUCAUCUCAACAUGCUGCAGUCCAGUCCCAGCAGGGAGCGACAAUAAUCACCUCCAUGCAACGCUGAGAUCAUUGUCACACAAGAGGCUCCAGCACAGGAAACAUUAAUGCCUCAUGGGAACCGCUAUUGACAUCUUAGUCCCCUUUACUGGGAUCUAUUGAAGAGCCAGAACACCUGAGUGUGAUUAAAAUGCUCCACUGCACAGUUACCAGUGAGUGUUCAAGGAGGUCAAGAGCAGCCACGCCCAGUGUUUAACAGCAGGAGCUGGGAUCAUGCGUGAUGGCUGUAGUGGAUACUGGUUCGCACUGGAGCCAGUCUGAAGCCAUAUUUCCUCUUGAACCCGGGACCUUUAAAUAAGGAGCUUUUGCCCCGGCACCUCGAACCCAACACCAUCUGAACAAACACACCACCCACGCUUUCCUUCUGCUACCUACCAACCUACGAAACAUUUGUACAGUGCAGUUUGUACAUUUGUAAUGUCCUUUACCACCUUGCCGGAGUUUUUUUUUAACUGAUUCAUUUGGAAUCACUCCUGUUUAGAUUUAUCGGGUUCUUUUGCAUUAAAAUGUGCUGUUUGGAUAGAAAUGUCACUGCAAUUUAAAAGACAAUGCAAGUAAAUGUGAACAUGUCAUUUAAUGAAAUUAUCAUCAGAAUUAAUUUCCACAAUUUAAGUGUGCAACUUUAUUUUCUACCGGCACGCAUUGUACUGUAAUCCAGAUCAUCCACAGGGCACCAGAGGAGGAGAGCGCCCCCUACCGUGCUCCACAGUCCACCUGAAUCAGGUGGAGACCCUGGGCCUCCACAUUAAGAAGAUGGAUUAGAUUAAUGACCGUGGCACUGACCUGCACUCCCUCUGAGAGGCUGCAAUCCACGUAGUACACAUUUGUUUGUAUUUGUGGCCCUGAAAUAUAGAUGGAUAUGUGAUGCCCAGUCAUAAUCAGGUCUGCAUGCAAGCACAUUGUUUCCAUUAAAGUAACACUGCUUUACAGCAAAGAGUUCCUGGUGAGCCACCUUUUAGCCCAUGGCCAGUAAGCAUCACAUGACCAUGUCUCCCCUAUCAGAUAAUGUCUUUAAGUAACUAUAAUACCCUUCUGUAGCUUUAAUGGGAGUCUGUUUGUGACUAAGAUUAAUUAAAGGAGAAAAAUAAAAAACUAUUCACACAAUAGCUUCUUUAUUUAAACAAAGGGUAAUCUGUGGUGAUUUUGAAGCUAUUCCUUUAAGGCCACACCCAUCAGCCAGCCAAUCACAGCGUAGGCAGGAAGCUACUGCACCAUCUGUGUCCAGGUUAGAGCAGGAAGUCUGGUUGAUGAGACACAGACACAUGGUUUACCUGCCAAAACAAACCACAGCAUAUAAACACAUCCUAAACCCACAAGGGCCGUCGUUGCUGUCGGUGAGACAGCGGAGAGACAUGAAACGAGCUAAAAGCUGCGACUGGAUCCGGACAGAGGAGCAGCAAUGUGCAAACCUUGUAAGCUUCAUAGAAAGAGGAAGGAGAAACAAAGCUGGGAACGGCUGCUUGUCAGCUGGUUCGUCGCUGUAGGAGUAGUUGAGCUUUCUGAACCUUUUCAUUCGAGUCACGUUCAAAUGUUGAGUUCUACUUGUAAACAUUUUUUCUGUGCUCCCAGUUAACAUUUACCGACCCCAGACAAGCAUUGUGACUAAUGAGAGUUAAAUAUUCCCACAUCACCCACACUGCUGUGUUUCUUUGUCUCCUUGCUGAAAUCAGGAUGGUUGUUUUCUUGCUGCUCCCUGGGUUUGGCAUGGUGCUGCUGGCCAGGAGCACGCUGGGAGGCUGUGGCAGGAGGAUGGAGCUGGACCAGAGCUACAGGAGCCGGGUAGGACUUUCCAAUGACCGUUGCCUUGGAUGCCACACAGGGCAACCUCCUGAGUGGAAUAAUAUUUAAUACCCCAGUAAUCAGAGGGUGUGUGUGUGUGUGUGUGUGUGUGUGUGUGUCUGUGUGUGUGUGUGUGUGUGUCUGUGUGUGUCUGUGUGCGUCUGUAAGCAAGCCUCAAAGCUGAAAAUAUUGACGGCUACACUGUGAUAAUGUCUCUGGGUUUUUGACUUCAAGAGGAGACCCUGCUUCACUAUGCAGCGCCUUUAUUAGGUGUUCAUUUACUGCGUCCAUACGCUUCCUGUCCACCUCUAUUAAUAGGAACAAGUCAGAAGCAGUGGAGCUUCUUACCUUUCCCUGAUUCAUCACUGACCUUCCUUGUUUCUGAUCUUUCAAACAUAAUCUACCUACAGAGUAAGCCUUUCUGACAUUCUUUUAAGCCACACUUUAACCAGUUGCUAUUAAAUAUAGGGCCAAUAGGAAACUGAACUGCGUCAUUGUAACAGUUCUUGCUAUCUAAAUGCUAAUGAUCUAAAUUGGUAUUUUUUGUGAACAUGGAUUAUCUUCAUUAAAGCCAGAAACCAGAGGAACAAGCCGUCAUACCAUAUGUAUGUUCAAAGACACACGUGUCACAUCUUCUCAUAUACAUUCUUUCAUAUUAACAAGGAGGAAGAUAAUUGGAAUUAGACUAUACGAGACGUAAUUUAGCUGGAAAGCUCUUACUAAAGCUGCCAGGCCAAUCGUUUUCCAGCUGUGUUCAUUUUUUUUUUUUUAAAGAAACUUCUCAGCAAAUCACUAGGACGUACAUAGUGAAAGACACGCUGCGGCUAGUAGGAAGACACUUCAGCUUCCCACUAUUAUUUAACAAUGUGCUAUUUAAAAAAGUGCACAAUAGCAACUUUCUUGCAAGAUCGUGCAUGAUUUGUUAUAGAGAUAAUUGUUUUCCAUCUGUUUAUACUGUAUGUGAGUCGCCAAACUGUGUGAAACUACAUGGAGUUAUGAACCACUUCUUCUGCAAUGGGCGCAAUCAUAAAUAAAGUGCUGAGUUAUGCUUCUCAUAGCCAAUGCAAGCUAACCGGCUUAUUGAAAACAUUUGUGUGGCACACUACAUAGAUUAGAUUAGGGAAUAUGGACUAUAAUGUUAUUCCAAACCCAAAGGGAAUAAUCUCUUCUAUGCUAAUGUACAGUUUUUCUACAUUAAUUUUAACCUUACCUAAAGAUCAUGGAGUACUGCUUUUCCCCCAGUAGGCCAUGAAUUAGGAUUUCAGUAGCCCAGCAUCACUUGAGGUUUUACAGGUGACUGGACGUUAUUUAAAACGG